GCCAGACUCCUACGGGAGGCAGCAGUGGGGAAUAUUGCACAAUGGGGGAAACCCUGAUGCAGCAACGCCGCGUGAAGGAAGACGGUUUUCGGAUUGUAAACUUCUAUCAAUAGGGAAGAAAGAAAUGACGGUACCUAAAUAAGAAGCCCCGGCUAACUACGUGCCAGCAGCCGCGGUAAUACGUAGGGGGCAAGCGUUAUCCGGAUUCACUGGGUGUAAAGGGAGCGUAGACGGCCAAGCAAGCCAGGGGUGAAAGCCCGGGGCCCAACCCCGGGACUGCCCUUGGAACUGCAUGGCUGGAGUGCGGGAGGGGCAGGCGGAAUUCCUGGUGUAGCGGUGAAAUGCGUAGAUAUUAGGAGGAACACCAGUGGCGAAGGCGGCCUUCUGGACGACAACUGACGGUGAGGCGCGAAAGCGUGGGGAGCAAACAGGAUUAGAUACCCCAGUAA
rnacentral:rRNA from 1 species